UACCAAAAACAUGUCUCUUUGUAAAAUAUAAAUAGAGAGUCGGGCCUGCUCGGUGAAUAAGUUUUUAACAGCUGCGGUAUUUUAACUGUACUAAGGUAGCAUAAUAAUUUGCCUUAUAAUUUGAGGCUAGAAUGAAUGGUUUGACGAAGGUUAAUCUGUCUCCACCUUAUUUUUUAGAAGUUAAUUUUUAAAGUGAAAAAGCUUAAAUCUUUCAAAGGGACGAGAAGACCCUAAUGAGCUUAUAAUUUUAUUAUCAUUAUUUAAAAUAUUUAGGUGGUGGUAUAUAAAUUUUAAUUGGGGUGAUUAAGGAAUAAAUUGUGUAUAGUAACUUCCUUAAAUUAGGUAUUUGUAGAUAAAGUAACCAAUGUAAUAUUGCUUAUAGUAUAGUUACCAUAGGGAUAACAGCGUAAUUUGUUUAGAGAGUUCUUAUUGAAAAACGAGAUUGCGACCUCGAUGUUGGAUUAAAGUAACCCUAGGGUGCAGAAGCUUUAGUAGGUAAAUCUGUUCGAUUUUUAAUACUUUACGUGAUCUGAGUUCAA
rnacentral:rRNA from 1 species